AGGACGAACGCUGGCGGCGUGCUUAACACAUGCAAGUCGAGCGGUGAUCCUCCUUCGGGAGGUGAUCAGCGGCGAACGGGUGAGUAACACGUGGGCAACCUGCCCCUCACACUGGGAUAACCUCGGGAAACCGGGGCUAAUACCGGAUACGACCUCGAGCGGCAUCUCUUGAGGUGGAAAGCUCCGACGGUGAGGGAUGGGCCCGCGGCCUAUCAGCUUGUUAGGUGGGGUAAUGGCCUACCAAGGCGACGACGGGUAGCCGGCCUGAGAGGGCGACCGGCCACGACUGGGACUGGAGACACGGCCCAGACUCCUACGGGAGGCAGCAGUGGGGAAUAUUGCGCAAUGGGCGAAAGCCUGACGCAGCGACGCCGCGUGAGGGAUGAAGGCCUUCGGGUUGUAAACCGUCUUUCAGCAGGGACGAAGCGAAAGUGACGGUACCUGCAGAAGAAGCACCGGCUAACUACGUGCCAGCAGCCGC
rnacentral:rRNA from 1 species